AGGUUUGCAGCUCUCCAGGCAGAUCGACAGAGCACGGGGGGAUCGGCUGAGCUGGCAGCGGUGCUAUCUGCUGCAUCCCCGGGCCGGCAAGAGCCUCUGUGGGACCGUUUGAACCAACUGCAGGCGCCCACACUCUUUGUUGCCGGCGCAGAGGACGCCAAAUUUGUCGCACUCGCGUACAAGAUGGCGGCAAAGCUGGACACACUAGCAACCACCAACCAGCAUGAAACAACGCCCAACAGUCACACAGAAUCAGCAAGAACAGAGGGAACCAGGACAGAGCAUUCUCAAGAGGGGCCAGCAGAGCUGCCUACUGUUGAGAGGCAGCCGGUUGGGCGUCUGAUUGGAGACGGAGACAGCAAUGGAAAGAGCGUGAAGGUUGAGGUGAUCACCAGCUGCGGCCAUGCCGUGCACGUGGAGAGGCCUGAAGCCCUCGUGCCGCUGCUCAGGCGCCUGAUAUUCGGGAGUGUGUGAAUAAAUUUUAACUCAGUAUGAACACAUUUCCUACGUUGCUAUGUUGCGGUGAACACUGAAAGCUACGGUCUGUACAGCCGCACCGUGCCAAGAUUAUUGAACUCAUGCCAGAAAACCCAACUGGAAGUGAACUCUGUAGGAUGGGCACUGCAGUAGCGCAUGACCAUGGCCCAACACCUGCGGCUGUCCUGCCUAACAAAUAUAUACAUGUAGAGUGUUGGCUUGCAUGUAAAAUCUAACAC
rnacentral:lncRNA from 1 species